ACCCGCUGAAUUUAAGCAUAUAAGUAUGUGGUGAAUGAGAAACUUUGAAGGAUUCCCUUAGUAGUUGCGAAUGCACCGGGACAGGCUCAGUGUGGAAAUCAGUGCAUAUGGCUCUGCCUUGUUAUAUUAUGAUAUGCUACCAACAGAGGUGCAGGAAAACGGCGCCUUUGGGAACUUGCAUUGAUAAGGGUGAGAAUCCUGAAUGCAAUCUGCAAACCUCAGUGUAUGGUGUGUCUUCUAAGAGUCACGUUCCUUGGGAUUGGUAUGCAAAGAAGGUGGUAGUUUUCGUCUAAAGCUAAAUAUUUGUUUGAGACCAGUAGUGAACAAGUACCGUGAGGGAAAUGUGAAACAAAAGCUCUGUGAAGAGAGAUAGAAGUUCCUGAACCUGUUGAAAGGGAAGUGAAGGAAUACAGUGUAUAUUGGUGAGAUUGCUGCAUGCUAUUGUGCUUGCCUGCAUGUAUUUGCAAUGCUGCUGCGGGUCCUGAGCAAGUUGUGUGCAGUGAUUCUUACCCUGUGAAUCAGUGCCAGUUCACUGUUUGCUUGCAGCGAUUGGGAUUUUGGUAGCCCAACUCCAGAUGGGCGGAUAUCCCUCUGCGGGUGAUUACAGGUGCUGCUUGGUGACUACAUGGAUCCCUUCGCCCCGUCUUGAAACACGGACCAAGAAGUCUAACAUGUGUGUAAGCUCACGGGUUCUUAAAAACACCUGCUCGUGCAGUGAACAUGCUGGUUUGGGAUGUUUGCACCAGCAACAGGCCACUCACUCAUGAGGGUCUGAGGAUGAGCAUGCCUGAUAGGACCCGAAAGAUGGUGAACUAUGCCAGUGAAGGGCGACCUCAGGGGAAACCCUGAUGGAGGCCUGCAGUGAUACUGACGUGCAAAUCGUUCGUUAUACGUAGGUAUAGGGGUGAAAGACCAAUCGAGUUAUCUAGUAGCUGGUUCCAUCCGAAGUUCCCCUCAGGAUAGCUGGGACCGAACAUAUUUGGCAGGUAAAACAAAUGAUUAGAGGACUUUGGGGCUUGUUGCCCUGGACUUCGUGAUAUGCAUUCGCUAUUUGUGUGAGCCCCCCAGGACAAGUGGCACUUCCAAGUGGACCAUUAUUGGUAAGCAGAGUUGGUGAUGAGGGAUGAACAUAAUGUCAGGAUAACAUGCUUAGCUGCUUGCCCAUACGAUACCAUAGAGGGUGUUUGUUCAUUUAACAGUAGGGUGGUGGUCAUGGAAGUUGAAAUAUGCAGAGGAGUGUGUAAUAACUCACCUGCCGAAUGGACUGGCCCUGAAAAUGGAUGGCGCUCAAGUGGGUGACUGACCUCCGACCAUUGCUGCACCUGUGCUGCAUCAAUGAAUAGGAUGGCACGGGGGUUUGGAAUGAAGCUUGUGGGGUGACCCUGGGUAGAACAGCACCUGGUGCAGAUCUUGGUGGUAGUAGC
rnacentral:rRNA from 1 species